rnacentral:rRNA from 1 species
GAUGAACGCUGGCGGCGUGCCUAAUACAUGCGAGUCGAGCGAACAGACGAGGAGCUUGCUCCUCUGACGUUAGCGGCGGACGGGUGAGUAACACGUGGAUAACCUACCUAUAAGACUGGGAUAACUUCGGGAAACCAGAGCUAAUACCGGAUAAUAUAUUGAACCGCAUGGUUCAAUAGUGAAAGACGGUUUUGCUGUCACUUAUAGAUGGAUCCGCGCCGCAUUAGCUAGUUGGUAAGGUAACGGCUUACCAAGGCAACGAUGCGUAGCCGACCUGAGAGGGUGACCGGCCCCCCGGAAAUUGACCACCGGCCCGGGCCCCUCGGGGCGGCCCCGUUGGGGAAUCUUCCCAAAGGGGGGAAAUCCUGCCGAGGACACGCCGGGGUGGUUAAGAAGGGCUUCGGAUCGUAAAACUUUGUUUUGGGGGAAAAAAAAAUUUGUAUGUAACUAUGCCCGUCUGAACGGAACCUAUACAGAAACCCCCGCCAACCUCCGG